rnacentral:lncRNA from 1 species
GGUUGGAAGUUAUUUUCUUUUAGGGCUUGAAAUACUUCACUCCAGGCUCUCCUUGAUUUGAGGGUUUGUGUUGAGAAAUCUGCCAUGAUCCUGAUGGGCUUUCCUUUGUAGGUGAUUUGUUUCUUUUCUCUCACUGCCUGUAAAAUUUUAUUCUUCUGUUGGGUUUCUGGGAUCUUGACUAUUAUAUGCCUAGGUGUAGAUUUUUUUCAUCAUGGCUGGGUGUAGUUCUGUAUGCCUCACUUAUCUUUGUGUCCAAUUCUCAACCUCUGUCUGGGAAGUUUUCUACUCUUACUUCUGUGAACAGUUUUUUAUGUCAAUUGUACUUUCUCCUGUUUUUUCAUGGACUCCUAUCAGUCUUAUGUUAUUCUUUGCAUCAUCUAGCAGCUGUUGAAUUGAUUUCUCAUGGUCCCUUGCUAUCUUUAAGAAAUCUCUGUUUUCAUGGUCCUUAACUGUGAUCCUGUCUUCUAUAUCUGAUAUUCUGUCUUCAGAUUGUCUCAGUCUGCUCUGCAUGCUUUCAAUGGAGUUUUUAAUCUCCUGAAUAUCUGUUUGAAUUGGUUUCAUGGAUUCCAUUUCUUUCUUAUGUUGGGCCAUCAUGGUUUCCAUUUCUUUCUUAUGCUGGGCAUUCAUGGCUUCCAGCAUGUUUCUGAUCUCAUCUGUUUUCUUAUCUGUUUCUGCUCUAGAGCUUCUAAUCAUGUCUUUCAUUCUGCUCACCAUGUCUGUAUUUAUUUGAGAGAUUAUUUCUGCUUUGAAUUUCUCUAGAACCUCAUGUAUCUGCUUUGUUACUUCCUGUGCUGUCAGUUCAGGGUGUCCAAGUGGUUGCUUGUUAGACUUUUCCUCUUCAUUUCCCCCAGAAUUUCCUUUUUGUUGAGUGGAAGCCUGUGUUUGUGCCUUGCUUAAGUGUCUUCUCAUUUUUGAUUUUGGUACUGUCCUUGGUUUAAUUCCUGGGUUGAUAUUUCAAAAUUGCUUAAUGUAGGUAUCUGUAUUGCUUGUGUUUAGAACCCUCGUGGAAUGACUGCUUUUCAGAGGUGUCUUCUAGAUAUAGCUUGUGUUUGGCUAUUUUAUUUUCCUUAUACCAGGUAGGAAAAUGGCUUUGAGGCUAUUUUAUUUUCCUUAUACCAGUAAGGAAAACUAAUUAGAUCAAUCACAACAUGUUAGUCCAAAAGACAUAGUCAGCAAUACCAUGGCAUCAAGCACAGCUUAGAAAAUGACAAUUUGUGGUAGUUAUUAAUCUAUCAAUUUUAACUCUGUGAGUUAAAUUAAAAUUGAGGACUAACCUAACAUAAGUUUAUAAUGAAUAAGCUCUUCACUAUAGCAUCUUUCCCCUUUGGGUGGGGAGUUAAAAGGAGUUGGGGAGGGAGGGACAGGUAGAAAGAACAGGUAAGAUUAGUGGUGAGGCCCGAAGACACAGAAAGAUCACACAAACUCUAAGAAGUUGUUAAAGGCAAGAGAAAAUGGCAGAAUGAAACAACAAAGAUGUGAACAGAAUCACCUAACAGCCACGGGGAGGCUGGAUACCAAAUUUACUUUCCUUUAAACCUAAUGAAAAUCAAGGGAAGGAAAAAGAGAAGAACAAAACAAUAAGGGAGAAAUCCAAAUUCAGUGCAGAAAGGAACAAAUAGGGAGAUGAGGAGUAAUGUGGGACAGCAAGAGAAUGAGUGUGAGAGAGAGGGGAAAAAAGAUAAAAGGAAGAAAAGAAAGAAAAGUAAAACUUUGAAGACUAGAGAGAAAGUAAAAAUUAAGAAUUGAAAAUAGGAGAAAAAAUUUUUUUUUUCUUUUUUGCAAAUAGCACUAGAAAUUAUGGGCCUGCUUCAGGAUAUGUCUCUCCUCUCACAGUAGGCAACAUAGGAAUCCAUGUGCAUAUACGAGUCAAUGAGUCUCAGCAAGCCCGCAGCAGACCAAGUACUGUGGUCUGAUGGCACAUGCCUUUAUUGUAAGAUUCUCUUUACUUUUCCACUGAGCUUUAGUUUUCAUCGAAGAGCCUGAGAAGCCCUCUUUCUGUUACUAACUUCUGCUCUAUCUUGUGGCGCUCAGGACAAGGGUCUUUAUAAUCUCCUGUGCCUCUGUAGUGUGGGACCAGGUAGCAGAAAAUUGAGAAGGCCAGAG